UUAAAUUGAAGAGUUUGAUCAUGGCUCAGAUUGAACGCUGGCGGCAGGCCUAACACAUGCAAGUCGAACGGUAACAGGAAUCAGCUUGCUGAUUUGCUGACGAGUGGCGGACGGGUGAGUAAUGUCUGGGAAACUGCCUGAUGGAGGGGGAUAACUACUGGAAACGGUAGCUAAUACCGCAUAACGUCGCAAGACCAAAGAGGGGGACCUUCGGGCCUCUUGCCAUCGGAUGUGCCCAGAUGGGAUUAGCUAGUAGGUGGGGUAACGGCUCACCUAGGCGACGAUCCCUAGCUGGUCUGAGAGGAUGACCAGCCACACUGGAACUGAGACACGGUCCAGACUCCUACGGGAGGCAGCAGUGGGGAAUAUUGCACAAUGGGCGCAAGCCUGAUG
rnacentral:rRNA from 1 species